CGCGGAGUGGAGCAGUUGGUAGCUCGUCGGGCUCAUAACCCGAAGGUCACAGGUUCGAGUCCUGUCUCCGCUAC
rnacentral:tRNA from 1 species